rnacentral:rRNA from 1 species
CAGCCGCCACGGUAAAACGUAGGGUGCGAGCGUUAAUCGGAAUUACUGGGCGUAAAGCGGGCGCAGACGGUUACUUAAGCAGGAUGUGAAAUCCCCGGGCUCAACCUGGGAAUUGCGUUCUGAACUGGGUGGCUAGAGUGUGUCAGAGGGGGGUAGAAUUCCACGUGUAGCAGUGAAAUGCGUAGAGAUGUGGAGGAAUACCGAUGGCGAAGGCAGCCCCCUGGGCCAAUACUGACGCUCAUGCACGAAUGCGUGGGGAGCAAACUGGAUUAGAUACCCCCGUAGUCCCUGUCUCUUAUAC